AAAAAUUGAAAGGGCCCUUUCGCUCCAAAGAAGGGAGGCCCCCCCGGCCCAUAAAGUUGGUGGGGAGGUAACGGUUUCCCCAAGGGAAAGGUUUCAUCCCCCCCUGGAGGGGUUUUUCGCCCCCCGGGGGAUUGAACCCCGGCCCCGAUUUCUUAGGGGGAGCCGCCAGUAGGUAUUUUUGGCCAAUGGAAGAAUAGUUUGACCCGAACAACCCCCGCUUGAAUGAAGAAGGUUUUCGGAUCGUAAAACUUUGUUGUUAGAGAAGAACAAGGAUGAGAGUAAAAUGUUCAUCCCUUGACGGUAUCUAACCAGAAAGCCACGGCUAAUUACGUGCCAGCAGCCGCGGUAAUACGUAGGUGGCAAGCGUUGUCCGGAUUUAUUGGGCGUAAAGCGAGCGCAGGCGGUUUCUUAAGUCUGAUGUGAAAGCCCCCGGCUCAACCGGGGAGGGUCAUUGGAAACUGGGAGACUUGAGUGCAGAAGAGGAGAGUGGAAUUCCAUGUGUAGCGGUGAAAUGCGUAGAUAUAUGGAGGAACACCAGUGGCGAGGGCGGCUCUCUGGUCUGUAACUGACGCUGAGGCUCGAAAGCGUGGGGAGCGAACAGGAUUAGAUACCCUGGUAGUCCACGCCGUAAACGAUGAGUGCUAAGUGUUGGAGGGUUUCCGCCCUUCAGUGCUGCAGCAAACGCAUUAAGCACUCCGCCUGGGGAGUACGACCGCAAGGUUGAAACUCAAAGGAAUUGACGGGGGCCCGCACAAGCGGUGGAGCAUGUGGUUUAAUUCGAAGCAACGCGAAGAACCUUACCAGGUCUUGACAUCCUUUGACCACUCUAGAGAUAGAGCUUCCCCUUCGGGGGCAAAGUGACAGGUGGUGCAUGGUGGUCGUCAGCUCGUGUCGUGAGAUGUUGGGUUAAGUCCCGCAACGAGCGCAACCCUUAUUGUUAGUUGCCAUCAUUUAGUUGGGCACUCUAGCGAGACUGCCGGUGACAAACCGGAGGAAGGUGGGGAUGACGUCAAAUCAUCAUGCCCCUUAUGACCUGGGCUACACACGUGCUACAAUGGGAAGUACAACGAGUUGCGAAGUCGCGAGGCUAAGCUAAUCUCUUAAAGCUUCUCUCAGUUCGGAUUGUAGGCUGCAACUCGCCUACAUGAAGCCGGAAUCGCUAGUAAUCGCGGAUCAGCACGCCGCGGUGAAUACGUUCCCGGGCCUUGUACACACCGCCCGUCACACCACGAGAGUUUGUAACACCCGAAGUCGGUGAGGUAACCUUUUGGAGCCAGCCGCCUAAGGUGGAAGAAAGUGA
rnacentral:rRNA from 1 species